CUCCUCUCUCUAUUAAUGACUCUACCUACAUGCUCAACUCCAUAUUUCUUCCCAAUGACUUUUUGAUUUUUCUCUCCUCUCUCUGUCUGUCUGUCUUUCUCAUCUCUCAUGGGUUUUAAGAGUAACUUGUUAGUUUACACAUCAUUGGAAUGUGAGAGCAAGGAAGAAAUGGUAGCUUCCAUGCAGUUAGCUAAGGAUCAAGGAGCAGAUCUUGUGGAGCUUUGCAUUGGAUCCAUGUCUUUCUCCCACAUUUCAGAGAUUGAACAACUCUUAAAACAAAGAAUUUUACCUUCAAUUGUCUCCUUCAGGUAUGUACUAAUAAUUUUAUCUUCAUCCCAUUUCUCUCUGGUAACUUUUUUAUGUAAGUAUAAACAAGAGAAACAGGUGAAGAGUCCUCUUCUCGACUCGCAUAUGAUUUAAAUUUUAAGUGGUGUGAGUUGUUUUGAAAUCACAAUGAAAAUCCUUGCUACAUUAAGUGAGCAAGUGCCCAGCAAACACCUUUACGCUUCUCAAAAAGGAUGUCUAUAACAAAGUAUGAAUUAGGAAUGAUGCGAAUGGAUUUGGAUUGGAGACACGACGUGGGAUAUUGUUUUAGGUAUCGAUGCUACACCAAUGUAGUUUUCAAGCAACUACUUCGGCCAAACAAGAUAGCAAGGCAAGCUCUCCUAGUUGAAGUUCAUAAACUAUAAGUUAGAAUCUUAUCGUCUCAUUAAGACGUACGGACUCGAUGAGUCCUUAUAUAGUGGCUAGAUAACGAGUAGAACCUAAUAACGUGUUCAUAAUUCAUAGGCUCCCAUGUAGAAGUAGGUCAUUAGCAAAACUUGAGACAGUGAAUUAGUUUUCGAUUGAGAUAAAUUAUUGAAAAACCUAAUCUCUAUAUUUUAAGAUUUUCUCAUGUAUUUUUUAAAAGGAAAGUUUUAGUCAACUCAUUGGAAGAGUAGAUAGGUCAUACCAAAGAAGUGCACAUGAUAGGAAAUAUGCAUCACAAAAAGUUAUAUUUAAGGUCAUUUACAUUUGUUCAUUGUAGAACUCAUGUUCUUAACCUUCUUUUUUUUUUUUUUUUAAAUCAAAUUCUUAUCUUCAACUUUUUACUAAUUAACAAAUCUCAUCCUUGAUCAAAACAUUUUGUUUCCGUACUUUGAAAUCGAGGAAAAAUAUUUUGUCCCAAUUUUCUAUUAUUGAAUUUUAAUUCUCAAUCACUCAUCUCCGAGUAUUAAUUAUGUGUAUUUUAUGGGAAAAACGUGGACCCUUGAUUUUGAUUUGAUAAUGAACUAUGAGCACUUAUCUCCUCGAAUUUGGAAUGAUGUACUUAAAUGAUGAAGACAUUGUCUGCUCAUGUUGUGGACAUGGUUAAGUGGGGGGAUAGAUUCCUCAUAAAUAUGACCCACCAUUACGUGAUACUGUUCAGCCAACUUCUACGAUCUUACUUCAAUUACGGUACAUCUCUCAACACAAUCCUAAUGUUAUUCUUUAAUUCUCAACCACUCAUCUCUCAAUAUAAUAAUUUUGUACCAACAUUUUAGUAAUUAAUUGAAAAUUGAUAAUCUCAAAUAUAUUACUUAUUUCUAAUAAUUUCUUAUUUAAUUGAGACCAGUGGCAGAUCUAAGUGGUGGCGAGUUAGAGCGAUCUUCGUCGGGGUGAAUUUUUUUCCUGAUAAUAAAUAGAAUUUUUAGAUUAUAUUAUAUAAUUAAUAAUUCAUAUUAACAACAAAUUUUUUUGGUAGCUCAGUUGGUUAGCUUUUUCACUAUUGAAUUGAAGAUCUUGUGUUCGAAACUCUUAAGUAUAAUAUUUUUUAUAAUUUUUACUAAAACAAAUGCAAGGAAGGUAAUUUGAACUUGCUACAUUCCUCAAAUAUAUUAACCACUUUACCAUCAUGACACUUGCUGAUUUUUAGCACACAAUGUAACAAAAUAUUAUAUAUUCAAUUUUACUGGUUUAAUGCAAGUAGAAACAUUUUAAUCGGUGCUUUGUCUCUCUUCUUGAUUUUCUUUUUCUUUUUUUUCCCCUCUAAUCAAAUGAUUUGAUAGUUUUGUCAAUUAAUGGUAGAUGAAUUUGUAGAAAAAAUAGCCUUAGUCUCAUAAAAAAUCUUUCAGCAAAACUUAUUUAAUUAAUAAAAGGUUUUACUUUUCAUUCACAAAAAAUCGGUUGCAAAAAAGUGAAAUCAUACAAGCACAUAAAAUUAAUAUAAGUACAUAAAUAAUUUUAAUUGUAUUAAUAUAACUAAUAUUGACAUUUUGUUAAUAUAUAUUGCCUAUUUAAUUGAAAAAUAAAUUAGGGUAUUUUGCAAAUUAUGGAACAGUUUUUUUUAUUCAAAAUGAAAGUUCGUACAUAGUUAUAGUUAUAGUGGUGUAUCUAGUUUUUCUAGUUCUUAAUCCGUACGAUUUUUUGAAUAUUAUUUAAUUAAAUAUUAAUAAACAACCCCGCUAUCACGGACGUUGGCCAUCGAUAGUAAACUUUCAACGCUCGCAGUUCGCUCUAGCUGAACUCGACCCCUGGAUUCACCCUUGACUGAGACAAUCUAUUAUCUGGGGUGAACUAAGAUGGGCCAUUAAUCAAAUCCAAUAAAAAAAAGGAGGUUUCUUUUAGGAAAAUGAUUAAGAAAAAUGAUUCCAGGUGAACCGAGAAGGAUAAAAUUGCAGUAUCUAUACAAUAAUUCUACUAGAGGAUAUGCUAUUUCCAAAAAAAAUAAAAAUAAAAUAAUUUCAUGUAAUUAACGGCAUGAAACACAAUUUUCUAUUUUGUUAUAGCGAAUCUCUAGUGGAAAGAAUUGCUCGUAAUGAAAAUCAAGCUGUUCGUGUUUGUCCAAGCUUAAGAAAAGUUUGCUUAUAAGUACUAAAGUAAGUUCUAAAAUUAAUAAAUUUCUUUGUUGACAUCCGAACUCCGACAUAAUAAAAACAGUUCGCUAAUCCCACCUCAGUUAAAUGUAAGUUCGGCCCAUACUCUCAGGUCGGACAAACCCGUCGUUCUCUCAGAAAAACAUCAUGAUUACCCCUUGUUACAUCACCCUAUCAAUCAAAUACACUUACCACAGGUGACAUCAUCGCCACCCAGAACAACCAAUUACAACCCCUCGAACUCCAACUCCUUACAGGUCAUCAUUACCUGGGUAAUACAUUGACACAUGAUCACCGCCUUCAUCGACCAAUUACAGGAGAAUUUGGCGACCCGAGUUUCGAGCUCGACACUGUUGCUGAUUUGAAUGAUUUGAUGUAACUUUGGUUGAAACUAUGUAUAAAUAGUUGAAUAUGACUCUUGUAAAAGACAAGUGAACUCAUAUAACGACUUAUGGCACAAUCACACUUAAAAAACAUUUUUUAUGGUCUUUUUCAAGCUUAAAUCACCUUUUUUCUUAAAACUGGUUUUAAAUUAUCCUUGCUAAUUUUGACGUCAGCGGUUUGGCACUAGAAGGAGGGCCCUAAUUGUGAAAAAUAGUCUCAUUCGCUCCACAAAAAUUUCAAGAGUCACGAGUCAUAGCUCAAGUUCCAGAAAUCCAUCUCACACCCACCCUCAUGAAACGAGUAUACCACUGAAUUCUCCACAAUGGCAGGACCCUCAAAUGACCACAAUGAGGGAAGCCUUGAAAAAAUUGACAAAUGCAGUGGGACGACUGGAAAGGAGCCAAGCCUAUUCGUCCCCACCAGAUACCGAGGUGGAAUCUCCCUUGUAAGGACAAAGGCAAGGCAUCCCCCCAUCAGGAGGACCCUCCACUUUUCAAGAGGAGAAUCAUCAAGAAGUUGAACUGACGAGGCCAAAAGCAAGAAACCCGGGGUGGGAAGGACUGCAAGUGUGUUCGACAGAUUGGGGACCCAUCACUCGCUGACUCCUACGCAAGGACAAACCGACCUGAAAUGUCUUUUGGAAUAAACAGAACCCGAAUUAAGCGCGCUUAAAAAAUGUAUCGCCGAACUGGAGGCUAAAAACAAAGGUGGCACUGAAGGUUACCAAACCAAACGACAUUCCCCCUUCACCGAGGAUGUCCUUAUGGAACCAUAACUUGAAAAAUUGAAAAUUCUCCAGAUCGCCGCAUACUAAGGGGAUGGUGAUCCCCUCAGCCAUCUUGACAAAUACAUCUUGUAGAUGGAACUACAGGGAGCAAGCAACGCAAUCAUAUGCCGGACAUUUCCCUCGACUCUGGGAGACAAAGCCCAAAGAUGGUUUAGGAGACUACACGAGAGGUCGAUUAAGGAUUGGAAUGAUCUGACAACGGCAUUCUUGGUCCAGUUCAUGGGCUCCAAGGCCAGAACCACACCCAAAGAACGUCUAGUGAGUAUCAAGUAGGGAAGAAGUGAAUCCCUCAAAAGCUAUCUGAGCAGGUUCAACAAGCAAUCCAUGGAAGUGGAAAACAUAUCUGAUGAUGCAGAACUCAUGGCUGUAUUAGCAGGACUAAGACCCAAAACAAGAUUCUGGUGGUCAGUACACGAGGACGAUCCGAGGACUUAUCACGAGUUCCUGAAUCGAGCUGAGAAAUACAUAAGCGCUGAAGAACCAACCUCUGACCAAGAGAAAGCAAGACGCGAAACUGACCUCAGCGAUAUGAUGAAAGAAAAAAAACCAAGACGUAGUCCCCAGCCCGAAAGAAAGAAGGACAGAAGAGAAAGAGAACGUCCCAGGGCUCAGCCAUACAAGUUCCGGGAGUACCACCCACUCAAAGCCUCAUUGGAAGAGACAUUCAUGCAAGCCAAUACAAAAGAGGCAUUUCGCAGACCUAUAAUUCUAAAGGAUCGACAGACAGGACAACGCCAGGGAUGAUACUGCCGAUACCACAGGAUGAUGGGCCAUGACACUGAUAAUUGUCGGGACUUUAAAGAGAAAGUUGAAUCCUUAAUUCGAAGAGGUCGGUUACAGGAGUUUGUUGCCAAGCCAAAAGAAGCAGAUCAACCUACGACGUAGCAGCCAUUGCUACAGGGGGCUCCCACACGAGCCCAGCAGGCAAUCCCUAACCGUAACCCACCCGCACAUGCCGAAAUCAAAAUGAUGAUGGGCGGAAAUCAGUGUAUUGAAGGAUCUAGAAGGGCCAGGCGAAGGCAAGCCCGAAGUGCAAAAACCGUACCGAACUAUUGAAAUCAAACCCCUAAGACCUGCAUAGACCCUGAAUCGUUCUGGUUCACGGAAGAAGAUUUUGAAGGAAUCCUUCAAGACCAGAGUGACACCCUGGUGGUCACAAUGAUGGUUGUUGGAGUAAAAGUCCACCACACUCUAGUGGACAAUGGAAGUUCGGUCAACAUACUGUACUCACGAACCUUGAGGCAGUUGAAAAUAUCAGUCCGCUACCUCCAACCAUAUCCAAGGAAGCUACAGGGAUUUUUUAGGGAUCCUAUCGAAGCCCUAGGUCAGAUCGUCCUUAUUGUGGAGCUGGGCGAAGCUUCUCGCUAAAGAAGGAUCGUAGCGAAUUUUGUGGUGGUCGAUUUGCCGUCCAAUUACAAUGCAAUAUUGAGACGGCCCAUUUUGCUCGAACUAAAAGCUGCCAUGUCAAUUUAUCAUUAUUGCGUGAAAUUCCCCACUCCUUAUGGGACUGGAAUUACCCAAGGAGAUCAAGUUACUGUAAAGGCCUGCAACGUCAACCUGGCAAGACCACAAGUCAAUAUGCUAAGGAGUAGAAUGAACAUGCAAGUCGAGGAAGCCAGAUCGAAGAGACCAAUCGUUGCGGAUCUCUCGGAGAUCGGCAUAACGGAAAAGAAUCUCAAAAAAGCUACAGAUGAGCAACUGUCCUUUGACGAGAAGGAGGCGGACCCACAUCCUUACCACGGAGUUAUGGUAAUCUUGUUGCCUGUGGCCGGGGUAACUAUCCCCAAAGUCUUGGUGGAUACAGGAAGCGCUCUGAACAUCCUAUUCAGCAACACCCUUAAAUGAAUGGAUAUCCCUGCUAACUUCCUUCCACCAUACCCAAAUAUGGUCCUAGUAUUAAGCGGAGCCUUGACUUCUGCCAAAGGAUCAAUCAAACUCAAAGUUGAGUUUGGAUCAGCACCCCGGCAGGUGAAGACGAACUCCGAGUUCGUGGUGUUCGACACCCCUUCACCUUAUGACGCUGCGAUGGGAUAGCUCCUACUCUUCAACCUAAGAGCAGCAUUUUCCCUAUAUCAAUAUUCUAUCAAGUUCCCCACACUCCAUGGUGUGGGGGAAGUCAAAGGAAACAGGGAACUCGCUGAAAGAUGUCAAUGGACAACCUGUGCCAGCCAUCAACGUAACUCCCCGAGAGUAUAUAUGACAAACAUAUAGGAAUCCAAACUCAUUUCCUUAGACCCACGGACCAGUAUCGAAAGCGGAGAACCCGUUAAAGAACUAGAAGGAGUUUGAGUCUGUGCCAAGGACCAAACAAAGGAGCUCAAAGUCGGGUGCGCGCUACAACCCUCCACCCGGAGCAAGAUUGUGGCUUUCCUUAAACAGAACCUUGAUGUCUUCGCUUGGGAGCACAGUGACAUGAGAGGAAUAGAUCCCAGUAUUGCAUGCCACAAAUUACAGGUGGAUCCUUCAAUUCGGCCAAAGCAGCAAAAACGAUGACCUCUGAACCCUGAAAGAUAUGAAGUACUCAACAAAGAGGUGCAAAAGCUGUUGACCAACGGUUUCCUCCGUGAAGCGAAAUAUCCGAAGUGGGUCGCGAAUUCGGCCCUUGUGAAAAAACACAACGGAGAUUGGAGGGUAUGCAUAGAUUUCACCGAUCUCAACAAAGCAUGCCCCAAAGACAGCUUUCCAUUGUUGAGAAUAGAUCAAAUGGUGGACGCCACUGUCGGACAUGAGCUACUUAGCUUCAUGGACGCGUAUUCUGGAUACAACCAGAUACUGAUGUAUGGCCCAAAUCAGGAACAUACCUCAUUUUUAACUAACUGAGGUCUUUACUGCUACAGAGUAAUGCCAUUUGGUCUAAAAAACGCUAGCGCCACCUACCAAUGACUUGUGAAUUCCAUGUUUUCCCAGUAGAUCGGAAAGAUAAUGGAAGUGUAUGUUGAUGAUAUGCUGGUCAAAAGCAUCAAGGCUAAGGACUACUGUUAGCACCUGAUCGAAAUGUUUGAUAUACUGAGAAAGUAUGGAAUGAAGUUGAACCCGAGGAAAUGUGCUUUCGGGGUCAGUUCUGGAAGAUUCCUAAGUUACAUUAUAAACAACCGAGGAAUCGAGGUAAAUCCUGAAAAAAUACAAGCUGUCAUCAAAAUGAAGCCUCCAACCAAACCCAGAGAGGUAAAAUGUUUAACCAGAAGGGUUGCCGCCCUCAGUCAGUUCGUCUCCAAAUCUACGGACCGCUGCAAACCCUUCUUCGACACUUUACGAGGAGGAAAGAAGUUCCAAUGGACUAAAGAAUGCUAGGACGCCUUUAACGAGCUAAAGAGACCCCAUCAUAAAUACUCCACUGCGCAAACUAAACCCAGUAAUAGCACCUUGGCCCUUUGCAAAAUGGAGGGUCAACCUAAUUGGACUCAUGCCCAUUGGAAAAGGAGGGGUAAAAUUCGUCAUCGUCGCAGUGGAUUACUUCACUAUGGGUCGAGGCAGAGCCCCUUGCCACCAUCACUGAACAAAAAAAACCAACUUUUUGUGGAAAUCAGUGAUAUGUAGGUUCAGCAUACCUCACUCCAUUGUUGCGGAUAAUGGAAAACAGUUCGACAAUGUACAACUUUCGAAUUUCUGUGAAGAGUUCGGCAUCAAGAAACAUUUCUCAUCACCGAACCAUCCACAGGCAAACGGCUAAGUCAAAGCCAUUAACAAGAUUAUUAAGCACACAUUGAAAGCAAAACUCGACUUGUUUAAAGGAGAAUGGGCCAAAGAACUCCCCAGUGUGCUAUGAUCUUAUCGGACUACUGCAAGGACGAGCACGCAUAGAGGCCGUGAUCCCACUAGAAAUCAACAUUCCCUCGCUGCGCAUAACUGAUUACGACAAAGAAAUGAACCACAUAGCUCUUCGCACGGAACUCGACCUAAUCGAGGAGAAAAAGGAAUGACGUCGAACUCAAGAAUACCGUUUACAAACAGCGGAACGCCAAUUGCUACAAUCAAAAAGUGCGAAAAAGAGAAUUUGAGGUAGGAUCCCUCGUCUUACGGAAGGUAUUCCUCCCCACAAGAGAGAUCGACAGCGGAUGCCUGGGUCUGAAUUGGAAAGGUCCUUAUCUGAUAACGAAGGUCCUGCUAAAAGGGGCAUAUGAACUGGAAGACUUAGGGGGUGGGCCGUUAUCCCAUCCUCGGAAUGUCGAACAUCUUAAGCAGUACUAUCAGUAAACGAAAAAAGCCCAUAUAAAGCCCCAUUGUAAUGUCAAUCACAUCAAUAAAAAGGGACUUCCUAUUUUUGAACAUUUUAUUCAGCAAUCUGUUGGAAUCUUAUAAAGCCCUACUCCAUACGUAGGCCGAUUUAAGGUCGUAUGUGCUGCGACACUUAGUGGAAAAUUCCUCCUAAAGAAUCUUAUAAAGCCCUGCUCCGUACGUAGGCUGAUCUAAGGUCGUACGUACUGCAACCUCUAGUGGAAAUUUUCAAGGCCCUGCUCUACACGCAGGACAAGCUAAGGUCGUAUGUGGCACUACACUUAGUAAAAAUGCCCAAUGCAUAAGCCUGGUUUGAAAAACAGGUACUGCACAACUAGGUAAAAUUUAUUCAAGGUAAUUAUACGUGCUAUUGCAACGCUCUUACAAAUUUAGCUAAGUUUGUGAGGUAUUGUGUAAAAAAAAAAAUAAAUAAAUAAAAUUAUCUUCAUCAUCUUGGGCUACCGGUAAAAAGAAACCAUACUGAACAUAUACAAUUAUCCAUUUUAAACAAAAUGUCAUAAAAAGUCAAAACAAAGUUCACUUAUAAGCUAAGAACAUAUUGGAAAACUAAAUACCAAAAACAAUAUUUUUAAUCGCCUAGGGGUCCUGAGGGGCUGGGAUGUUAUCUUCAAUAUCCUGGGCUGCCGAUAAUACCCGAACUCCUACAGACUCAGACAACCUCCGCAGCUCCUCCUUCUGACCCUCCAGCACCUUAUCCAGAAAGGCCAUAUCAAAAUCAGGCCUCUCCUUCCUGAUGUGCCUCGCCAGCUCCUCCAGUGCUACCACGUAGACAUCCUGGGCUAUGACGUCAAACUCGAAGGACUCCUUCCAGGCCUCCACCACUCUGUCAACCUUGGCCUCAGCCUCUUUAGCCCUUUUGGUGGCCUCUCUUGUCCUUUCAUUGGUCCCUUAUACCUUCUGGAUGGCCCCUCUGACUUUGCUGCUUUCCUCUUCUGCCCGAGCUCUGGCCUCUUCCUCCGAGGCCCUCAAUGCCUUGAUCUCUCCCAUCAAUCUCUCCUCAACAUCGAUCCUGGAGUUCAGCUCGAUCCCCAUCUGAUUCAGCUUCUCUUCAUACUCCUUCUCUUUCAGAGCGAACUGGACCUUUUCAGCCUCCAUGCUGUUAUAAAGAUUGAAGGCCUGAUCAUUUGCCUCUAGGAGUUUGCCCAGCUCGGAUUUCACCUAUUUUUCAAAAAUAAAAAAUCAAGUAAGUUAUUAAAACAGUUAUAAAAUUGAUCAAAAGUUAAGUAAUAGGUAUACCUUAUCCACCACUGCCAUCAUGUAUAAAACUGAUUGGUGACCAUGGAGCUGAGCAGUGACCAAUGCCUCACCAAUGGGCAUCUCAUUCAGAUAGCCCUGCUCUCUCUCACCCUAGCUUCGGGUAAGCAUAUUGGCUGACUCCCUCAAUGGUGAAGUGAGUGCGACAGUUAUUCCCCUGGAAGAAGAAGGAGCUCGGAGAUAAUCUAAAAAUAUCUCUAGUCGGUAUCCCACCAAACUUUCCUAGCUUUGCCUCUGUAAAUCUGGGCACCGAUCCUGCAAGUUCGCAAAACUGGUCCCUACAGCAGAGGGGGCAGUUGGGGAAGGCAAAGAAGGAAACGGCAAGGUAGGGCUUGGUAAAGGCACUGCCUUAGGAAUCCUCAGUGCUACCGGGGGCGCAGAUCGAUUACUCUUCAAUGGAACCUCCUCCUUCACCUCUUUAGAACGGCUCUCCAACCGUUCUGGGACAUCUCUCUUUUUUCCUUUGGCCGCAGCCGCUGCCUUGUAGCCCCGCAUCUUGUCUUGAUGAUCUGAGAAAACAGUGAAACGCUCAAUAAAUAUGUAUAUACAUAAAGAAACCACGACCACAAAUGAGGGUCAAAAUAUUACUUGAACUGGAUGGAGCCGAACUUGAAGCUCGUACUUGCAACAAACCGGACUGAUAUAAGUUCGAAUCUGAGAUCACAAACUUACAGGACCUUUGUUUUUUAGGUAAUGAUCUUAUUACCUCAGCUAAUCUCUGUGUAUCUUUGGUUAGCAUCUCCUUCUUGUAAUUUGUACAAAGGAAAAAAUACCGAGGUUAAUACUUUGUCAACAUACGCCUUGCUAAAAGACUAAAGCCCAAAAAGACACUUACAUAAAGAAAGAUAGAGCCUGGGAACCACGUCCUCCCUAUUCACCUCGAUAGAAUGAAACUGCCACUCUUUCGAUACAUAGAACCACUCUUCCUUCCAUUUCUUAAUUGAGGAAGGAGUGUCUAACACCGAAGAACCUCUCGUCCUGGGCCUAACGCUUGUGUACCACCAACCCAAGUUCUUCCCAUCAUCCUUAAAAGUAAACAGAGAAUCGAAUUGUUGGACACUUAGCUCGGGAUUCCCCAUUUGGUUACAUAGAAUAAGGGUGGCUAUUAAGAUUCGUCACCCGUUAGGGCAUAGCCGCGUGGGGGCUAUGUCCCAAGAAGAAAGGAAUUUACGAAUCGCUCUAGGAAAGAAAAGUCUAAGACCGACCUGAAAGAUAGCCGAGUUCAGAGCAACACAUUCCUCAGGAGGUGUGUCAGCUCGAUCAGAUGGUUCUGGUAUUAUCAUCACUACUGAACUAGGGAUGGCGUAUUUAGCUCGCCAGUUGGCUAACAUAUCCCCUGUUACAACCGACCUAUAAGAACUCGCCCCCCACUCCCCAAAAUUACUCUCCUCAACACCAUUACUGGAUCUACUUGCUCCCUUGGAACCCUCACAUCUGAAGUCCAUGACAGGAUGCCCUAAGUCGAUAGGGUUAAUUAUAGAAAUAGGAACAAGGGUAAAAAAUUCUUUACAACUAGAAGACGAACUCAUUGAGAAAGAGACUGACUCUUCUUGCUGGUUGCCCUAGGAAUGAACUCUAGACUCGUCCGAACUCAUGUAUAGACUAGGAAAUAAAGCACAAACUGAAAAGAGGAAGCAGAUAAGAACAGAAGAAUACCUAGGAAGCGAACUGGGAAAACGAGCUCACUCGAAUAUGGAAAUACGAACUCAGGAGAUGGCCUGAAUAUUUGAGAAAGUAAACCAGCAAAAUAGGAGGAGAAAUGACUGACCAAAAAGGAAUUUAAAGAAAGAGAAGCUGAGAGGGCACGAUCUGAACCGUUCAUCCAAAAAUGGAGGGAAAAAAUCAACGACUCAAAACCCUGAGAGACAAAACGACGUAGUCUUAGCCAAGCUUGCUAAAGAAGCUACUUAUAAAUGGCGUACAACUCAUCCACAUCAAAAGAUGACACUUGUCACAGCAAUGAAUGUUCUUUAUGGAGAAAGCAUCACUGAGGUCAGCCCCCCUACGGAAGAACUGACCUGGGGGGUAACUGUUGACAUCCGAACUCCGACCUAAUAAAAAUAGUUCACUAAUCCUCUCUUAGUUAAAUGUUAGUUCGGCCCAUACUCCCAGGUCGGACAAACCCGCCGUUAUUUCAGAAAAAUAUCAUGAUUACCCCUUGUCAUAUCACCCUAUCAAUCAAAUACACUUGCCACAAGUGAUAUUAUCGUCGCCCGGAACAACCAAUUCCAAGUCCUUGAACUCCAGCCCCUUACAGGUCAUCAUUACCUGGGUAAUACAUUGACACAUGAUCACCGGUUUCAUCGACCAAUCACAAGAGAAUUUGGCGACUCGAGUUCCGAACUCAGCACUGUUGCUGAUUUGAUUGAUUUGAUGUAAUUUCGACUGAAACUAUGUAUAAAUAGUUGAAUAGGACUCUUGUAAAAGGCAAGUGAACUCAUAUAACGACUUAUGACACAAUCACACUUAAAAGACAUUUUUUAUGGUCUUUUUAAAGCAUAAAUCGCCUUUUUUCUUAAAGUUGGUUCAAAAUUAUCCUUACUAAUUUUGACGUCAACAUUCUUUACCAAUGAAAGUUAAUGAAAAAAGAAAAAAAGAAUUACUUAUUUUAACAUGGUUAAAGUUACUUCCGAACAAACAACCUUUUUCUUACUCAUCCCAUGUUAAGAAAGAAAAAAAUAUUUAGAGAACUUUGAAUCCAAAUUAUAGGUGGUCAAACUAUUUUAUAAACACAAAUAAUAAUAAUAAUAAUAAUAAUAAUAAUAAUAAUAAUAAUAAUAAUAAUAAUAAUAAUAAUAAAAGCACCAAAACAGCUGGCUUAGCGAAAGGAGACUCAACAUGAAAGAAAGAUAAGUAAUAAGUACAUUCACCCUACUCGCUACUUUUUUAAGUUGAAAGAAGGAUAAGUAAUAAAUACAUUCACAGUGAUGGGUGCAAACAUUUUGAAUUAGGAGAUUACAAUUAAAUUUAUAAAUCAAAUAAGUUAAUAAAAAAACACAAUUUUUUUUUAGUCAUGAUCCUUACAGAGAAUGGUAAACUUAUAAGAUACAAAUGCAAACAUUAAUAUAGUAAUUAUCAACUUUGUCCAUUCUAGAUAAGGUACUUACUAUUAUCAACUACAUUGUCUUACGCCUAAGACAAUUCGUGACGUUGUUGCACAACUUGUCAUAUUUACUAUUUGCCAAAUGGAGGCUAAAUUUUAAACGUAAGCCAUCUAAGCAUUUUGUAGAAAAUGUACAAAUAAAAAAAAAAAAUUGGUGAGGCAAGUGACCCACCAUGCCCCCCGCCCGAAAUCUGCCAUUGGACAAACACAUUUACUCCAUUAAUCUUAAACCUUGAAAACUUAAAAACCCGGCAAUUGUAUAAACAAAUAUCAGCCAAUUAUAUUCACACCACAAAUUUUUUAUUUUUAUUUUUUGUUGCACCAUAUUUUAAUUACACUUAAGGUCCUCAACUUUUUUUAAUUUUAACACUUAUGCCAUAACUUUUUUCAUUGAAUUCUUAUUUUCAACCUUUGAUUUAUUAUCAUAAACAUAUUCUAUUUGCGUGCUUUGAAAUGAGAGAAACAUAAUUUGUUGCAUUUUUGUAGUUUUUUUUUUUUUUUUAAAGUAAUGUAAGAAAAAAUAAGUCAUUUCACCGUCAUCCUAAUGGACAUUCUAGACAGAAACCAUUAUUAUAGACUAGACACACUAAUUAACGUGAAGAUAAAAAUGCAUUGAAAAAGAAUUAGAAAAAUAAAUGCUAAUAAACAAAAUUUCAGGAUUUUAAGUGCAAUUAUAACGUGGUCCAAAUAAAUACUAUGCGAUAUGAAUAUAACUGUCCAAAAACUUGAACUAUAAAGUGCAUUUCAUUAAACCAUCGUAUUAAUUUUGCUUAUAAAUAAGCGAGUUCCUAACUUGUUGGCCUAGCUACAGGGGACGCCCCUUAAUUUUCUUAGUGUAAAAAAAUAAAAAAUAAAAAUCUUGUAAUUCUUUUUUUUUUAAAUUAAGUUUUUUCUACAUAUUAGUCUGAUUAAUAGUUCGAUCCUAAAUCUGUCUCCGCAUGUUGGCUCAAAGAAGGGAAACUUAUUGUAGUUUAUAGUCAUAGAUGAUCCAAAUAUGAACUUGUGUUUAUAGCUUAAAAUUUCCCCCCAAAAAAAUAAAAUAAAUUGGGGAAAAAGUCCGUCGCAAUUGUUACGUUGCCCAGGUUGCAAUUAAAUAUUUUAGGGCUCUUCCAAUGGGCUUCCAUUUUUGCACCAAUCCACAAUUUUCGAUUAUCCUGUAAUACGCUCAAGUUAACAUAAAAUUAAUGGUGGACUGAAUUGGAAAUCUGGGUUUAUCUCAGGCACAAGUGCCCUACAAAUCCAUGCAGAUGCUUGCAAGUUUUCAAAAUGGCUAUCGAAUUUGACACAGAGUUUGUGGAGAUUGACGUCGAGGUUAGUCCCCAACAUAUAAUACAUGCUUAAAAGCUAGAAAAAUUAUUAGGAAAAGCCUCCCUGCACAGGAUAUGUACAGGUGUACACACAUGAGAGUGGACCCCACACAUCCAUGUGUGUGCACCUGUUCAGGCCUGUGCAAAGGCGUGUCACAACUCUAUUAUUACUUAUCUUGGCUUAGAAAAUUAGUUUAACGCACAACCAUACGUGCUCGUAAAAUAUGUCUUAUAUUUCAGAUGGCAACUGAAGCAGUUCUUAACGAAUUUAUGAGAAAAAGAUCAAACACAAAAAUAAUUGUCUCAGGCCAUUUGAAUGGAGAAACUCCUACCACUGAAAAUCUCGGCAACUUGAUUAUAGACCUACAAUCUACUGGAGCUGAUGUUAUUAAACUUGUGGUUGAUGUGUCUUUUAUUACAGAUGUAGCACCAAUAUUCCACAUGCUCACCCAUUGCCAGGUACUAAGUAUAUAUGCUCGACUCGAGCAAAUUUAGAUACACAUCUCUCUUUUUUUUCAUUGUUGUCAAGUCGAGAUAAAUUUGUCUUCUGAUCUCUAUAGUUCAAGUUUUUAAAUGAUAGUAUGGUGACAAAUUUUUUAUUUUUUUUAUCAAAAUUCUGACACAUCGACAACUUUCGUAAAAGGUUAAUUCUAUGCAAGAGGGGACACGUUUAUUUUUUUAUGUAAAAUUUUUGAUCAUGCAUGCAGGUGCCACUAAUUGCAAGAGCAGUGGGAGAUAGAGGUCUUAUAAGCCAACUAUUGGGCCCAAAAUAUGGUGCCUUCUUAGUAUGUGGAUCUAUAGGAGACAAAUUCAUAUCUGGAUUGCCACCUUUAGGCAGCAUCAAACAAGUCUACAAGUUAGAAUAUAUGAAUUCAGACACACAAAUUUUUGGUUUAGUCUCAAAUCCUGUAGGUCAUAGCAAAGGUCCACUUCUGCAUAAUCCUGCCUUUAGACAUACAGGAUAUAAUGGAAUUUAUGUUCCUCUCUUAGUCGAUAAUGUCGAGGAAUUCUUCAAAGUUUACUCGUGCAACGACUUCACAGGCUUCAGGUACUCUCCAUUUUCUGAAACAGUUUAGCAUAUUGAUGAGCAAAUUAGUAACAUCAAUAUUAAGAUAGAUUUGAAGUGGAUGCAAAGAUUCUUAAGUAUGGCUCGUUUGUCCAAGAUUCUAGCUUUAGUUCUUCUUGAUAAUGGGCAUUCAAACUUCUAUGAAAUUAUCGUAUAAAAAAAGAAAAUCUUUGACAUGAAUUCUGAAUUCAUAAUCAAUGCAAAAUACCAAAUAAAAUGUAUUACUCUUGUCCUAUUGUCGGGCAUACUUGUGACUGGAUUUCUUUCUAAUGCAAAGACAUCUACUUUAGAGAUAUGUAUUAGUCUUCUUUGAUCACAUUUUGGAUAUAUCUAAUGUGUGAAUUUCUACGUCUUCGGUAACUUAUAGUGUUGGGAUACCACACAAGGAGGCAGUGUUAAAAUUCUGUGAUGAAGUUCAUCCCCUUGCUCAGGUAUGAAAAUUUUGCACGUCGAUUUAGUAACUUCUUAGAACAAAGCUGAGGUAUUUUCGGAGAGGCCAAGGAUAUGAUUAUUGGAGACGCUCU
rnacentral:lncRNA from 1 species